rnacentral:rRNA from 1 species
CCUACGGGAGGCAGCAGUAGGGAAUAUUGCACAAUGGACGCAAGUCUGAUGCAGCAAUGCCACGUGUGGGAUGACACUUUUAGGAGCGUAAACCACUGUCAACUGGGAAUAAUGCCAUGGUAGCCCCAUGGUUGAAGGUACCAGUAAAGGAAGCACCGGCUAACUUCGUGCCAGCAGCCGCGGUAACACGAGGGGUGCAAGCGUUGUUCGGAAUUACUGGGCGUAAAGAGUUCGUAGGCGGGAUGUCAAGUCAGGUGUUUAAAGCAGGGGCCUAACCCCCGUUCGGCACUUGAAACUGGCAUUCUUGAGUAGGUCAGAGGUUAACGGAAUUCCUAGUGUAGCGGUGGAAUGCGUAGAUAUUAGGAAGAACACCAAUUGCGAAGGCAGUUAACUGGGGCCAUACUGACGCUGAGGAACGAAAGUGUGGGUAGCGAACAGGAUUAGAUACCCUGGUAGUCCACACCGUAAACGAUGUACACUAGACGUCUGAUGUUUUUAUUGGGUGUCGGAGCUAACGCAUUAAGUGUACCGCCUGGGGAGUACGCUCGCAAGAGUGAAACUCAAAGGAAUUGACGG